rnacentral:lncRNA from 1 species
GGUCCUAAGAGGGGUUUCGGCUCCUUAAGUUCGUUUUUCGCGUAGACUUCCGUUUUUGGGCUGUUUUCGCCAAAUUCGAGGGUCGGAAUGCCCCGAAUGAUCAUAGGAAGUUGAGAGAGAUUUCGAGAGAGAUUUGGGAGAGAUUUUACAUUCUUGGAGAGAUUUCUCAUACAAAGAGAUAUUUGGGAGAGAUUUUACAUACUUAGAGAGAUUUAGGAGAGAUUUGACAUUCUUGGAGAGAUUUCUCAUACAAAGAGAUAUUUAGGAGAGAUUUCACAUACUUAGAGAGAUUUGGGAGAGAUUUGGCAUUCUUGAAGAUAUUUCUCAUACAAAGAGAUAUUUGGGAGAGAUUUCACAUACUUAGAGAGAUUUGGGAGAGAUUUGACAAUAAAAAGAGAUAGAGUGAAAACGACUGAGAGAGGUUUCAUUUGUGACAUUUUUGAGUGUCCGACUUUGCAAUGCAAGGUCCGUAAACCCUGUUAAGCCUUGUUUAAAGAUCUUACACACUCCCGAUGAGUAUGCAACAUUGUUUUAUCGGUUUGGCUCGUCACUUACCACAGUUUUAGGUUAAGGAGAUCUAGAUGUACGUACUUUUCAAUUUAUGAUCUCUCAUUAGAAUAGCGAGUUGUUUAGUAAUCACAUAACGUAAGCCCUAGUACACAAGGGUUAGUUGAGUUGACCGGUUUGACUUGUUGACUUUAUUUGACUUUGAAUUGACCAGAAUUUGACGAUUGUCACAAAAUCUAUUUUACAAACACUCAAUGUGUCGCUUGAUGAUGAGUUGGCCAUUGACAUGGUCCUUAACUCUUUACCUUGUUAUGAUCCUUGUUAUGGACCAACUUGAUCUUUAAGCUCUUAAUCCAUUAAGUCUUGCAGCCAAAACUUCCAAAAGUCCUUCUCUAUCCUAUAACACCAUAAAAAUCAUAGCCUCUGUACAUGCAUGUCCAAAGCAUGUCCCAAAGAAAAGCUAGGGAAAAACAAGGAAGAAAUGGGGUUAGGAGCUCAUACAAGACUCCCAAACUAACGAUGUUUCAGAUCCAACACUUAUCUUAUCAAAGGGACAUUGGAGAUCCAUAAACUUGGCAACUUUAUGGAUCCCCAACACAAUUUCAAGCCAAGACAUGAAAGAUAGUGCAUAGAAACCUAGAUCUAAGCUUAUAGACUCAUAAAGCACUG